rfam:Brassica rapa chromosome A10, whole genome shotgun sequence.
AGAAUAUAAGAAACCGUUUCUUAACUUUUAACUAAAAAAUUAAGAACCGGCUCUUAAAUAUUUAAGAGCCGGUUCUUAAUUUUUUAGUUAAAAGUUAAGAGAUGGUUUCUUAUAUUUC